CCCUUAGAUGUUCUGGGCUGCACGCGCGCUACACUGAUGCGCUCAACGAGUUUAUGACCUUGCCCGGAAGGGUUGGGUAAUCUUCUUAAAACGCAUCGUGAUGGGGAUAGAUUAUUGCAAUUAUUAAUCUUCAACGAGGAAUUCCUAGUAAGCGCGAGUCAUCAGCUCGUGCUGAUUACGUCCCUGCCCUUUGUACACACCGCCCGUCGCUACUACCGAUUGGAUGGUUUAGUGAGAUCCUCGGAUUGGUCCCGGCGCGGCCUCUGGUCGUGCCGGAGUGCCGAAAAGAAUGUCGAACUUGAUCAUCUAGAGGAAGUAAAAGUCGUAACA
rnacentral:rRNA from 1 species